rnacentral:rRNA from 1 species
ACGUAGGGUGCGAGCGUUAAUCGGAAUUACUGGGCGUAAAGCGUGCGCAGGCGGUUCGUUAAGACAGGUGUGAAAGCCCCGGGCUUAACCUCGGAACUGCACUUGUGACUGGCGGGCUGGAGUGCUGCAGAGGGGGGUAGAAUUCCACGUGUAGCAGUGAAAUGCGUAGAGAUGUGGAGGAACACCGAUGGCGAAGGCGGCCCCCUGGGCCGAUACUGACACUCA